rnacentral:rRNA from 1 species
AUUGAACGCUGGCGGCAUGCCUUACACAUGCAAGUCGAACGGCAGCACGGGAGCAAUCCUGGUGGCGAGUGGCGAACGGGUGAGUAAAGUAUCGGAACGUGCCCAGUCGUGGGGGAUAACGUAGCGAAAGUUACGCUAAUACCGCAUACGAUCUAUGGAUGAAAGCGGGGGAUCGCAAGACCUCGCGCGAUUGGAGCGGCCGAUAUCAGAUUAGGUAGUUGGUGGGGUAAAGGCUCACCAAGCCGACGAUCUGUAGCUGGUCUGAGAGGACGACCAGCCACACGGGGACUGAGACCCGGCCCAGACUCCUACGGGAGGCAGCAGUGGGGAAUUUUGGACAAUGGGCGAAAGCCUGAUCCAGCCAUGCCGCGUGCAGGAUGAAGGCCUUCGGGUUGUAAACUGCUUUUGUACGGAACGAAAAGGUUUGGGCUAAUAAGCUGAGCUCAUGACGGUACCGUAAGAAUAAGCACCGGCUAACUACGUGCCAGCCGCCGCCGUAA